rnacentral:misc_RNA from 1 species
GUUUUUAUUAAUAUUAUAACCUUUCGGUCAAAUGAACAUUCGUUUUUUAUAAGAAGGGUAUGUAUAUUUGUCGAGGAGAAGUCAGUCUUCUGCGUAUUCUCCCGAGAGAGAACUAACAGAAUCCAUUAUUCUCCCCAAUGGUGCACAGGUGUUGAGAUAGAUUAAGAAGGGAGCACAUGCGAGUAAACGCCAGCUAACAAUCCUUCAAAUUCGUUAAUGAUCCUUCCGCAGGUUCACCUACGGAAA